rnacentral:rRNA from 1 species
CCUACGGGGUGCAGCAGUGAGGAAUAUUGGUCAAUGGGCGAGAGCCUGAACCAGCCAAGUCGCGUGAGGGAGUACUGCCCUAUGGGUUGUCAACCUCUUUUGUCGGGGAGCAAAAGCCGGACGUGUCCGGCUGUGAGAGUACCCGAAGAAAAAGCAUCGGCUAACUCCGGGCCAGCAGCCGCGGUAAUACGGAGGAUGCGAGCGUUAUCCGGAUUUAUUGGGUUUUAAGGGUGCUCAGGGGGAUUUUUAAGUCAGCGGUAAAAUCGUGGGGCUCAACCCCAUCCAGCCGUUGAAACUGGGGAUCUAGAGUGUGCGAGAGGUAUGCGGAAUGCAUGGUGUAGCGGUGAAAUGCAUAGAUAUCACGCAGAACCCCGAUUGCGAAGGCAGCAUACCGGUGCACAACUGACGCUCAGGCACGAAAGCGUGGGUAUCGAACAGGAUUAGAUACCCUAGUAGUC